rnacentral:misc_RNA from 1 species
UGACCAAUCACGCAAGUGGUAUUGGGGCUUGCCGUUUGGCAUCCCUUAAAAACAGUGGCAGUGCUAUAGGCUCUCAGCGCAGUAACUUAUUUCGCUCUUGAGUCCUAGAACCACCCGCCAACAACCUCAACUUUCUUA